rnacentral:rRNA from 1 species
UACGAAGGGGGCUAGCGUUGCUCGGAAUUACUGGGCGUAAAGCGCACGUAGGCGGCUUUCUAAGUCGGGGGUGAAAUCCUGGAGCUCAACUCCAGAACUGCCUUCGAUACUGGAGAGCUUGAGUCCGGGAGAGGUGAGUGGAACUCCGAGUGUAGAAGUGAAAUUCGUAGAUAUUCGGAAGAACACCAGUGGCGAAGGCGGCUCACUGGCCCGGUACUGACGCUGAUGUGCGAAAGCGUGGGGAGCAAACAGG